CUGCCCGCCUUCACAGGGAGCUUUGUUCUUUUUCUUCCAACUACCUGUCUGAGCAGCGGACCGGAGAGGGCCAAAGAAAGGGCCCUCACUCCUGAGGGUCUCCCCAGGAUCCGAGAGACGCUCCUGAGUGAGAGAGGGGUUAGUGUCCCCCUCUUCCUCCCUCCCUUCUUCUCUUUUUUGUUGCUUCUACUCUUGGAUACGACACAGGCUUUGCUGUAGCCCCCCUCCACCCCCCCAUUUGGGUGUUUGCAGUGUGGACGCGCAGUGAACACAGAUCUACGUGGGACCAUGUCUGCAAUGACUCUCUCUGAAAUGAGGUGACAAUCAGCUCUUGAGACUGAACUAUGCCUAUCUGCAUGGCAUAGGCCCAGUGCCACCCAGGAAAGCCCGCUGUCUAGGAGAGUGAAGACACUUUUUUCAUUGCUACUUUGCUCAUUUUGCAAUUAGCCAAGGCCCUUUCAUUUCAGUUUGCUGGAGAACCCAGAUUUCGAACCCAUGUACUCUCCAGUCAAAUUAGAAAUUUGCAAAAACACAACCAAGAGGACACUUUUUCCAACUGGAAGUUUCAGGAUUUCAUAGAAAAGACUGUCAAGUCUUUUUAUGGCAUCGUUACAGCAGAAGGAGGAAACUGUUAUCCCAAGGUUGGAAACAGGACACAAAAUAUCUCACUCCUCCUCUUUCUUUGUCCCUUCUUUGUACCCUUACCAAUAAAAAAAGAACAUGGCAAACAAA